AUUGAACGCUGGCGGCAUGCCUUACACAUGCAAGUCGAACGGCAGCACGGGUGCUUGCACCUGGUGGCGAGUGGCGAACGGGUGAGUAAUACAUCGGAACGUACCUUAUCGUGGGGGAUAGCGCAGCGAAAGCUGUGCUAAUACCGCAUACGCCCUGAGGGGGAAAGCGGGGGAUCGAAAGACCUCGCGCGAUUAGAGCGGCCGAUGCCUGAUUAGCUUGUUGGUGGGGUAAAAGCCCACCAAGGCGACGAUCAGUAGCUGGUCUGAGAGGACGAUCAGCCACACUGGGACUGAGACACGGCCCAGACUCCUACGGGAGGCAGCGGUGGGGAAUUUUGGACAAUGGGGGCAACCCUGAUCCAGCAAUGCCGCGUGAGUGAAGAAGGCCUUCGGGUUGUAAAGCUCUUUUGUCAGGGAAGAAACACCGGCUCUAACACAGUCCGGGAAUGACGGUACCUGAAGAAUAAGCACCGGCUAACUACGUGCCAGCAGCCGCCGUAA
rnacentral:rRNA from 1 species